GUACAAUGGCGGGGUUUUGGUGCACGCGGACAUGUCCAUGUCCGCAGUUAAACGGGAAACACGAUGCUCGGCAAGAUCGCUAGCCAACGUGUGCUGCCCCCGCAACGGUAAAACAAGCGUCGCUGUAUAUAGUCACCAGCGACAGAGCGUGUCUCACACCACUGUGCGUUUGCAUGGGAAGGUUAUGCGCCUGGACUUGUUAGCCCGGAUACCGGCCAAAGCAGGUGGAGUAAA
rnacentral:ncRNA from 2 species